UUACUUAGUGGCGAACGGGUGAGUAACGCGUGGGGAACCUGCCUCAAAGAGGGGGACAACAGUUGGAAACGACUGCUAAUACCGCAUAAGCCCACGACCCGGCAUCGGGAAGAGGGAAAAGGAGCAAUCCGCUUUGAGAUGGCCUCGCGUCCGAUUAGCUAGUUGGUGAGGUAACGGCCCACCAAGGCGACGAUCGGUAGCCGGACUGAGAGGUUGAACGGCCACAUUGGGACUGAGACACGGCCCAG
rnacentral:rRNA from 1 species